GGCUCAGGAUGAACGCUGGCGGCGUGCCUAAUACAUGCAAGUCGAGCGAACGGACGAGAAGCUUGCUUCUCUGAUGUUAGCGGCGGACGGGUGAGUAACACGUGGAUAACCUACCUAUAAGACUGGGAUAACUUCGGGAAACCGGAGCUAAUACCGGAUAAUAUUUUGAACCGCAUGGUUCAAAAGUGAAAGACGGUCUUGCUGUCACUUAUAGAUGGAUCCGCGCUGCAUUAGCUAGUUGGUAAGGUAACGGCUUACCAAGGCAACGAUGCAUAGCCGACCUGAGAGGGUGAUCGGCCACACUGGAACUGAGACACGGUCCAGACUCCUACGGGAGGCAGCAGUAGGGAAUCUUCCGCAAUGGGCGAAAGCCUGACGGAGCAACGCCGCGUGAGUGAUGAAGGUCUUCGGAUCGUAAAACUCUGUUAUUAGG
rnacentral:rRNA from 1 species